rnacentral:rRNA from 2 species
UGCAAGUCGAGCGAACUGAUUAGAAGCUUGCUUCUAUGACGUUAGCGGCGGACGGGUGAGUAACACGUGGGCAACCUGCCUGUAAGACUGGGAUAACUUCGGGAAACCGAAGCUAAUACCGGAUAGGAUCUUCUCCUUCAUGGGAGAUGAUUGAAAGAUGGUUUCGGCUAUCACUUACAGAUGGGCCCGCGGUGCAUUAGCUAGUUGGUGAGGUAACGGCUCACCAAGGCAACGAUGCAUAGCCGACCUGAGAGGGUGAUCGGCCACACUGGGACUGAGACACGGCCCAGACUCCUACGGGAGGCAGCAGGAGGGAAUCUUCCGCAAUGGACGAAAGUCUGACGGAGCAACCCCGCGUGAGUGAUGAAGGCUUUCGGGUCGNAAAACUCUGUUGUGAGGGAAGAACAUAUACGAGAGUAACUGCUCGUACCCUGACGGUACCUAAACAGAAAGCCACGGCUAACUACGUNNCAUCCGCCGCGCUAAUCCGGGGGCGGCCNGCCCCCCCGGAUUUCCUCCGC